rnacentral:tRNA from 1 species
AAUAAAGUGGCUGAGUUGUAGGCGGUAGAUUGUAAAUCUAAAGACAAGUGGUUACUUCUUUAUUA